rnacentral:rRNA from 1 species
AUUGAACGCUGGCGGCAGGCCUAACACAUGCAAGUCGAGCGGAUGAAGGGAGCUUGCUCCUGGAUUCAGCGGCGGACGGGUGAGUAAUGCCUAGGAAUCUGCCUGGUAGUGGGGGAUAACGUCCGGAAACGGGCGCUAAUACCGCAUACGUCCUGAGGGAGAAAGUGGGGGAUCUUCGGACCUCACGCUAUCAGAUGAGCCUAGGUCGGAUUAGCUAGGUGGUGGGGUAAAGGCCUACCAAGGCGACGAUCCGUAACUGGUCUGAGAGGAUGAUCAGUCACACUGGAACUGAGACACGGUCCAGACUCCUAAGGGAGGCAGCAGUGGGGAAUAUUGGACAAAGGGCGAAAGCCUGAUCCAGCCAUGCCGCGUGUGUGAAGAAGGUCUUCGGAUUGUAAAGCACUUUAAGUUGGGAGGAAGGGCAGUAAGUUAAUACCUUGCUGUUUUGACGUUACCAACAGAAUAAGCACCGGCUAACUUCGUG